CAUCGGGCUGUCAAGUGUCGACCGACUAGAAAGUAGAAACGUCCCUUUUGCCUGUGAUUUCUUUGAGUGCUGGUAACGUCGACGAGUGUGGAAGUGAUAUAUGGAAAAUUCGAUGUUUUGUUGUAUUAAUUUACAUGGUGGUGUUUGCACAAGAGGAAAGAGGUGGUUGCACAGGUGCAAUAUCUACUUCGAUAUUUAGAGUAACACUGACAUUGAGACUUAAACUGCAAUUAUCGUUAAAAUAAUGUUUUAUAGUAAUUUAAGUCAGUAGUGGUGGUUCCCAGAGAGGCAUGAAAAUCUGCAAAUGACUUUGCUUUGUAAUCAGUUAUUUAAAAAUUUGAUUUAUAAUUUAUUUUAAAUACCAGUUUUUUCCAACACGUAAUACAAACCCUCGGU